AGGAAGAGAACCUGCUUCUCUAGGCCGAUCAGAUCACCGGAGAGGAGGGCCCCACCCGGACUUGUGUGUUUGCCCUGCUAUGUGUAUUCAGCCAGCAGGCUCCGGACCAGGAGGCAAAGGGCAGGGAGCCGGGCUCAGUUGACCACCUGGCACCAGGCAGCACCAGUUGGAGACAAGGCGCGCUGAGCUUCUAGAAGCAUCUCCAGGUGACACCAGGGGACUGAAGACACUCCCACCGGGGACUCGACAGGAAUAAUGGGCAACCAAAUGAGUGUCCCACAAAGAGUCGAAGACCAAGAGAAUGAAUCAGAGAUAGACACUAACAAGGCGGCGUCCGAGAGUAGAUGCGCACAAAACGGGGUGCCGGUGAUCAUAUCAACCCGCGACAUUCCUUGCUAUGAUGAAGG